UACAGAGGGUGCAAGCGUUAAUCGGAAUUACUGGGCGUAAAGCGUGCGUAGACGGUCAUGUAAGUCGGGUGUGAAAGCCCCGGGCUCAACCUGGGAAUUGCAUUCGAGACUGCAUGGCUAGGGUGCGGAAGAGGGAAGCGGAAUUUCCGGUGUAGCGGUGAAAUGUGUAGAUAUCGGAAGGAACACCAGUGGCGAAAGCGGCUUCCUGGUCCAGCACCGACGUCAGGCACGAAAGCGUGGGGAGCAAACAGG
rnacentral:rRNA from 1 species